AUCAUCACAUCUGUUUGCUGAAAUAAGUGUUAUCUAUGUAGUGUCUAAAGAAAAUUCGAAGAAAUAUCUGUUUUUUCUAACUGACAAAUAAUAAUUGAAUAUUUAUGCAAUAGAAUCUGCUAUCUGGAAAGGGUGAAUUUUAUGGUUGGUAUAAAGAAUUCUAAGACAACCUCCAAGGAAUCUUACCCUUGUUUUAAACACACGUGCCUCCCCUGAUUGAGGGCAGAAACUAUGAAGGAAAUGGCAGUCACUCCCCUGAUGACGUUACCUGAUGUGGCAAAAGUGAAGGGCAAAAACCAUAUGAUUACAAGAGUGUUUAUUGCAGUACUUUGUGUGAUAGAAAAAUGAUGGAAAGCGCGUAAACAUUUGUCAGCAAGAAAAUUCAGGUUAAUUCUUUUGAACAGAGACACUAGUAAAUGGAAUGAAAAUGAAAAUAAUAGUAAGAUCUUAGUCCUAGAAGACUUGGGGCCACCUGAUCUUCCAGUUAUUCCAGGCUAUUCUCCAUAGUCGGGAUAAGAACAGAGGACAGGAGCAGAAAUACAGGCAGUCCCUUUCUGCUUGGUUGGAAGGAAGGAGAUUUAAAGGAAACGAUGUAGAGAAAACCAAGAGCAUCAUGAAGUAUGUGAAGAAAUGAAUGAAAAGGAAAAACCGUCAGAGAGACUGUGUUGAGGGUACAUUGAGUCUUUCCAGGGAGCAUUUUAAA